CACGGGGGGAGCAAGCGUUGUUCGGAAUCACUGGGCGUACAGGGCGUGUAGGCGGUCAGGUAAGUGCAAUGUGAAAUGCCUCGGCUCACCCGAGGACCGGCAUCUCAUACUGCUUGGCUUGAGUACGGGAGAGGAUGUGGGAAUUCCUGGUGUAGCGGUGAAAUGCGUAGAUAUCAGGAGGAACACCGGUGGCGAAGGCGCACAUCUGGCCCGAUACUGACGCUGAGGCGCGAAAGCUAGGGGAGCAAACGGG
rnacentral:rRNA from 1 species